rnacentral:tmRNA from 1 species
GGGGACGUGCGGUUCGACAGGGGGGUUUGAUUCCGGAGUUGCAAGUCGAGGUGCCAUCAACCUCGUAAAUCAGGUGGCAAAAAAACAACUGGCGAACGCGAAUACGCACUGGCAGCCUAAAUAAAGGGCAGCCACGUCCAUCUCAACCUCUCCUCGAAGGGUGAGAAUUGGGCGCCGAAAAGUCGAGGUGCAGCGACCCCGAUGCCGGUAAGGGUCGCCCAAGAUAAAUCGGCUGGCUCUGCCGUACCUGGUCAGCGGAGGACGGUUGAGUGAGAACAAACGGCUGACUAAGCUUGUAGAUACUCUGGAUGGGAUUCUUCUGGACGGGGAGUUCGACUCUCCCCCGUCUCCACCA